rnacentral:rRNA from 1 species
GAUGAACGCUAGCGGCAGGCCUAAUACAUGCAAGUCAAGGGGAUAGCAAUAUCACCGGCGGACGGGUGCGUGACGCGUACACAACGUGCCCAAGGGCGGAGGAAAGCGGCGGGAAACUGCCGGUAAUACUCCAUGGUGUUGUUGAGUGGCAUCACUUAACAACUAAAGUACAAGCGCCCUUGGAUCGGUGUGCGUUCGAUUAGCUAGUUGGCGGGGUAACGGCCCACCAAGGCUUCGAUCGAUAGGGGGUGUGAGAGCAUGACCCCCCACACGGGUACUGAGACACGGACCCGACUCCUACGGGAGGCAGCAGUAAGGAAUAUUGGACAAUGGGCGGAAGCCUGAUCCAGCCAUGCCGCGUGAAGGACGAAGGCGCUCAGCGUUGUAAACUUCUUUUGGAUGGGAACAAUAACUCCGACUUGUCGGAACUUGAGGGUACCAUCAGAAUAAGCACCGGCUAACUCCGUGCCAGCAGCCGCGGUAAAG